rnacentral:rRNA from 1 species
GACGAACGCUGGCGGCGUGCCUAAUACAUGCAAGUCGAGCGAAGUUUUUCUGGUGCUUGCCCUAGAAAAACUUAGCGGCGAACGGGUGAGUAACACGUAAAGAACCUGCCUCAUAGACUGGGACAACUAUUGGAAACGAUAGCUAAUACCGGAUAACAGUAUUUCUCGCAUGGGAGAUAUUUAAAAGUUGGUUAUGCUAACACUAUGAGAUGGCUUUGCGGUGCAUUAGCUAGUUGGUGGGGUAAAGGCCCACCAAGGCGACGAUGCAUAGCCGACCUGAGAGGGUGAUCAGCCACACUGGGACUGAGACACGGCCCAGACUCCUACGGGAGGCAGCAGUAGGGAAUCUUCCGCAAUGGGCGAAAGCCUGACGGAGCAACGCCGCGUGAGUGAAGAAGGAUUUCGGUUCGUAAAGCUCUGUUGUUAGGGAAGAAUGGAUAUGUAGUAACUAUACAUGUAAGAGACGGAACCUAACCAGAAAGCCACGGCUAACUACGUG